UACGUAGGCAGCAAGCGUUGUUCGGAGUUACUGGGCGUAAAGAGUGCGUAGGCGGUCCUCUAAGUUUGGUGUGAAAUCUCCCGGCUCAACUGGGAGGGUGCGCCGAAAACUGGAGGGCUUGAGUGUGGGAGAGGUAAGCGGAAUUCCUGGUGUAGCGGUGAAAUGCGUAGAUAUCAGGAGGAACACCUGCGGUGUAGACGGCUUACUGGACCACGACUGACGCUGAGGCACGAAAGCGUGGGUAUCAAACAG
rnacentral:rRNA from 1 species